rnacentral:rRNA from 1 species
AUUGAACGCUGGCGGCAGGCCUAACACAUGCAAGUCGAGCGGUAGCACAGGAGAGCUUGCUCUCCGGGUGACGAGCGGCGGACGGGUGAGUAAUGUCUGGGAAACUGCCUGAUGGAGGGGGAUAACUACUGGAAACGGUAGCUAAUACCGCAUAACGUCGCAAGACCAAAGAGGGGGACCUUCGGGCCUCUUGCCAUCAGAUGUGCCCAGAUGGGAUUAGCUAGUAGGUGGGGUAACGGCUCACCUAGGCGACGAUCCCUAGCUGGUCUGAGAGGUUGACCAGCCACACUGUAACUGAGACACGGUCCAGACUCCUACGGGAGGCAGCAGUGGGGAAUAUUGCACAAUGGGCGAAAGCCUGAUGCAGCCAUGCCGCGUGUAUGAAGAAGGCCUUCGGGUUGUAAAGUACUUUCAGCGGGGAGGAAGGUGUUGAGGUUAAUAACCUCAGCAAUUGACGUUACCCGCAGAAGAAGCACCGGCUAACUCCGUGCCAGCAGCCGCCGUAAUAC